rnacentral:rRNA from 1 species
GACGUAGGGCGCAAGCGUUUGUCCGGAAUUAUUGGGCGUAAAGAGCUCGUAGGCGGUGUGUCGCGUCGGCCGUGAAAACCUGCAGCUUAACUGUGGGCUUGCGGUCGAUACGGGCAUCACUGGAGUUCGGCAGGGGAGACUGGAAUUCCUGGUGUAGCGGUGAAAUGCGCAGAUAUCAGGAGGAACACCGGUGGCGAAGGCGGGUCUCUGGGCCGAUACUGACGCUGAGGAGCGAAAGCGUGGGGAGCAAACAGG